rnacentral:rRNA from 1 species
AUGGAGGGGGAAAGUCUACUGGAGCGUAUAGUUAACGGAGACGAGAACCCGAGGGAUCUGCCAUUAGCACUGUUACUGCGCAUCACGGAUGAUUUCUCUGCAGAGAGAAAAAUUGGCCAGGGUGGAUUUGGAGAGGUUUACAAGGGUUUACUCCCAAACGGGAUUAAUGUUGCUGUCAAGAGGAUGCAUGUGGAUGCACACACAGUUGAUGACAGGCUAUUUCGCCGUGAGAUCAUUAGCCCGAUGACCAUCAAUCAUCAAAAUGUAGUCCGGUUUCUUGGCUUCUGUUCUAAUACACAUUAUAUGACAAUAAAAGAGGCUGGUUCAGGAGAAAUUAUCUUUGUCAACGUGAGAGAAAGAUUGCUCUGUUUGGAGUACAUCAGCAAUGGAAGCCUUGAUAAGCAUAUUACUGACGAAUUAAGGGGACUUGAAUGGGAAACACGUUAUAAGAUAAUCACCGGAAUUUGUAAGGGUCUGUGUUAUCUUCACGAGGAAAAGAAUAUUUCUCAUAUGGAUUUUAAACCGGCAAAUAUAUUACUAGAUGAUCAUAUGGUCCCCAAAAUUACGGAUUUUGGUUUGACAAGACCAAAUGAAAACUCAACUACUAUGGGUCAACAUUUUGGAACACGAGGAUAUCUCGCGCCGGAAUACGAGAACACUGGCAAAAUUUCAGUCAAGUCUGACAUAUAUAGUUUGGGUGCCAUAAUUCUUGAAUUAGUGACGGGGUGUAUGUCCGUCCCUGAUAAGAAUAAUGUACUUCGAAGGUGGAGACACAGGUGGAAUAAACCACCAACGUUACUACAAUACCAGCAAGUAACUAGAUGCCUUGAAAUAGCACUACAGUGCAGGCAACAAGAACCAGAACAUAGACCAUCCAUAUCGGAAAUAGUCAGAAGUCUAAGCCAGAUAAGCCCUUGUUUCGAUGAAGAUGACAUGCUUGAUAUUAAUCCGCUUGAACUAUGGCUUCCUUCUGUGCUUAAGAAGGAGAUAUCAUGCUCAAUUGAGCUAACCAAUAAUACACGUAAUUGCAUUGCCUUCAACAUCCAACUGCCAAGCAUACAAUACAGCGCACAGCCAGACAAAGGCAUUGUGCAACCAGAAUCCAAGUAUCACGUGCAGAUAAAAGUGCAAGCACGAGAUGUUCGUGAGCAUGACCAUGCCGACAAGUUCAUCGUGCAGAGCAUGAAACUGAGUGAGGGUCUUAGAGAUGAGGUUAUCACAGAAAACAUGUUCCAUCAAGAGGCUGGUGAAGUUGUUGAUAAGGUGAAUUUGAUGGUUGUAUACGGGCCUAUGAAUCCCCAAAAAUACAUGCCAGCUGAGGUGGAUAGACCUUAUUAUGAAUUAGAGGAGAAGCUACAGGAUUCAGAUGGAACACCAAUGUCUUUUCCACUAGACUUUUUGAAGGCCAUCACAUGUAAUUUUUCCAGUGAGUCAAUCCUUGGUGAAGGUGGUUUUGGAGAAGUAUACAAGGGAGUUCUUUCAAGUGGGAGCAUUGUUGCUGUGAAGAAGCUUUUUGACAUACAUUUAAAAGAGGAUGCAUUCCGGAACGAAGUAUGUUAUCUCAUGGGGAUUAAGCACCCAAAUGUAGUACAGUUACUAGGUUACUGUGCAGAAUCAAUUUGGGAAACGAUGGAGUUCCCAAGUGGUAGUGGGAAGCGUGUUUUCGCUGAAAAACCAAAAAGGUUGAUCUGCUUCGAGUAUGUAUGCAACAAAAGCCUCGACAAACAUAUUUCUGAUGAAUCUUCGGGCCUUGACUGGAAUACAAGAUAUGAGAUAAUCAAGGGGAUUUGCAACGGGCUGCAUUUCCUUCAUGAAGAAUGCCGUAUGGUUCAUCUGGAUCUUAAGCCUGAAAAUAUAUUGAUGGACUCUACUAUGAUGCCAAAAAUAGCCGAUUUUGGUUUGUCGAGGAUCUUUGGCGAGCAACAAUCACGAUUUUUCACUAAUAACAAAGAGGGAACACUUGGAUAUAUGGCACCAGAGUACAGAGUCCGAGGUGUAGUAUCGUACAAGGCAGACAUCUUCAGUUUUGGUGUCAUAGUCAUAGAGAUAAUCACAGGUGGUAGGGACUAUCCAUGGGACUAUUCAUAUUUCCAGCAACAUAGUCCCAACCAUACUGAUCCAUCUUUCCAGCAGUUCACGGAGAAAGUGCUUGAGAGUUGGAAGAACAAAUUUGUAACCACACCAAACUAUAAACCAGUGGAAAAAUAUACCAAACAAGUAAGACAAUGUGUCACCAUAGCCCUAAAAUGUGUGGACCCUGGCAUGGAGAAAAGACCUAAUGCAAAGGAUAUAAUCGAGGAGCUUAAGGCAGUAGACCAGAUUGGCGCCUCUCCGAUGUUAGAAGAUACAGAAAUUUCGUCAGAUGUAUGCCCAACUUUGUUCUGA